CUAGUGGCCAAUCCUCCUGGAUAAUCUUCAUGUUUAGUAAAUAGAUGGAUAUCUUUCUCUUAGACAUCGAUACAAUCCUCCAGAAUGCCAGUUGUCUUCUCUGCUUGUCACAGAGUACUCAAGGAGGUUUGUAGAAGGUUGCCGGGUUUUUCACCCGCUGAAGUGUUGGAUUUUGGUGCUGGCAUGGGUUUGGCUUUCUGGGCACUAUGAGAAGUCUGGCCGAAUUCCUUGGAGAA